GACGAACCGUCCAAACGUUAUUCGGAAUUAUUGGGCUUAAAGGGUGCGCAGGCUGUGCAGUAAGUUGGGUGUGAAAUCCCUCGGCUCAACCGAGGAACUGCGCCGAAUACUGCUGUGCUAGAGGAAGAUAGGGGUAAGCGGAACUGAUGGUGGAGCGGUGAAAUGCGUUGAUAUCAUCAGGAACACCGGUGGCGAAGGCGGCUUACUGGAUCUUUUCUGACGCUGAUGCACGAAAGCUAGGGGGAGCGAACGGG
rnacentral:rRNA from 1 species